rnacentral:rRNA from 1 species
GACGAACGCUGGCGGCGUGCCUAAUACAUGCAAGUCGAACGCAGUGGGGACGGGUGAGUAACACGUGGGUAACCUCCCAUCAGAGGGGAUAACACUUGGAAACAGGUGCUAAACCGAUACUGAUGGAUGGACCCGCGGUGCAUUAGCUAGUUGGUGGGGUAACGGCUCACCAAGGCCACGAUGCAUAGCCGACUGGAGAGGUGGAUCGGCCACACUGGGACUGAUAAACGGCCCAGACGCCUACGGGAGGAAGCAGUGGGGAAUCUUCGGCAAUGGAGGAAGGUCUGACCGAGAAACGCCGCGUGAGGGAAGAAGGUUUUCGGAUCGUAAGACUCUGUUGUUAGGAAAGCGGUAUCUAACCAGAAAGCCACGGCUAACUACGUGCCAGCAGCCGCGGUAAUAC